ACCAGACUCCUACGGGAGGCAGCAGUGGGGAAUAUUGCACAAUGGGGGAAACCCUGAUGCAGCGACGCCGCGUGAAGGAAGAAGUAUUUCGGUAUGUAAACUUCUAUCAGCAGGGAAGAAAAUGACGGUACCUGACUAAGAAGCCCCGGCUAACUACGUGCCAGCAGCCGCGGUAAUACGUAGGGGGCAAGCGUUAUCCGGAUUUACUGGGUGUAAAGGGAGCGUAGACGGCAAGGCAAGUCUGGAGUGAAAGCCCGUGGCUCAACCACGGGACUGCUUUGGAAACUGUGUUGCUGGAGUGCAGGAGGGGUAAGCGGAAUUCCUAGUGUAGCGGUGAAAUGCGUAGAUAUUAGGAGGAACACCGGUGGCGAAGGCGGCUUACUGGACUGUAACUGACGUUGAGGCUCGAAGGCGUGGGGAGCAAACAGGAUUAGAGACCCGAGUAGUA
rnacentral:rRNA from 1 species